rnacentral:lncRNA from 1 species
AUUACAACAGGCUAAAGAUAAUCUGGAGGCUUGUCAACUGCUUCCUGAGGAUCAGUCUAAUUUUGGUUUCUGCACAGCAACAAUGGUAACAGAACCCUCACAGGACCUAAGAGCACAAUGCCAGCUGUACGGACAUCAGCCUGGAGUUACCUACCCUCACUCAGGUCAAGAUACAUCAGCAGGACUGGUACCCAGUGCUGGACAAGGCUUCAUUAACCAUAACCUCAAAAUUUCCCACAAUAACCCUGUUGCAUCCGAAUCUAGCUCUUCAGAAUUUCCUUCCCUACUACCAGCAAAAUCUGUGGCAAAGAGAGCAGCUGCAAAGGUUGCUCAGCAUGAUAAAGUACCUCAUCCAGUUGGCUUUGUGACUCCUCCACCAUGCCCUGGUAAGAUUCGCUAUUUCAAGAUCUAGGCUGUGUCACAGACAUGCAAGACAGCUAACUGAAGAUCAGCAUGCAGCAGCAGCAUUCAACACACACAGUACAGCACCAAGUGCAAAUAGCUGAGAACACCUGACUCUUAGUCCAACUGACUUUCACCCUCCAGAGAACACAGCUGAGCCCAGGAUCUUGCAAAGGGCUGCUUCAAGAUAUAAGAGAUUGCAACGUACAGCAGUUGUUUUCUCUAAGUACAGGGAUGCUCUAGUUAAAACGCAGCAAAAAUUGUUUCAAUGAAGCUGUUGUAAAAGGUAUACAACAGUUGUAGCUUUGUGAUAGAAACACCAC